rnacentral:rRNA from 1 species
UACGAAGGGGGCUAGCGUUGUUCGGAAUCACUGGGCGUAAAGCGCACGUAGGCGGAUUGUUAAGUCGGGGGUGAAAUCCUGAGGCUCAACCUCAGAACUGCCUUCGAUACUGGCGAUCUUGAGUUCGGAAGAGGUUGGUGGAACAGCUAGUGUAGAGGUGAAAUUCGUAGAUAUUAGCUAGAACACCAGUGGCGAAGGCGGCCAACUGGUCCGACACUGACGCUGAGGUGCGAAAAGCGUGGGGAGCAAACAGG